rnacentral:lncRNA from 1 species
AAAUUUUUCUCAAUAUACUCCUAAAGUUAUAUUCUAUUAAUAAACUGUUAGGAACAACCGUUAUAUAUAUAAAAUCACUAAUUUGUACUUUUAAAUAUACCAUUUUAUCGUCAUUAUUUUUUUUAUUUAUUCUUAAGUUAGGGACAAAAGAGUUAUUUUUACUUUUUUUUUUUAACUUUGGUAGUAAUUUAAUCCUAAUUUAACUUGAGAUGAUUUAACAGGUACUAAGCGAGAUUUUUUUGAAUAAUAGAGAAAUAGAUGAGAGGUAUAUUUAAAAUAAAAAAAGGAGUAUAUAAGAUACUUAAGAAGUUAAUUUUGAAGGGUUUAUAGGUAA